UGGGCGCAGCCUGAUGCAGCGACGCCGCGUGAGGGAUGACGGCCUUCGGGUUGUAAACCUCUUUCAGUAGGGAAGAAGCGAGAGUGACGGUACCUGCAGAAGAAGCGCCGGCUAACUACGUGCCACCCGCCGCGAUAAUA
rnacentral:rRNA from 1 species